rnacentral:rRNA from 1 species
GAUGAACGCUGGCGGCGUGCUUAGCACAUGCAAGUCGAACGGUGAAGCAGGAGCUUGCUCUUGUGGAUCAGUGGCGCACGGGUGAGUAACACGUGAGCAACCUGCCCCUGACUCUGGGAUAAUCGCUGGAAACCCCGUCUAAUACUGGAUAUGUGAUGUGACCGCAUGGUCUGGAUCGGGAAAGCAUUUAGGUUGGGGAUGGGCUCGCGGCCUAUCAGCUUGUUGGUGAGGUAAUGGCUCACCAAGGCGUCGACGGGUAGCCGGCCUGAGAGGGUGACCGGCCAGACUGGGACUGAGACACGGCACAGACUCCUACGGGAGGCAGCAGUGGGGAAUAUUGCACAAUGGGCGGAAGCCUGAUGCAGCAACGCCGCGUGAGGGAUGACGGCCUUCGGGUUGUAAACCUCUUUUAGCAGGGAAGAAGCGAAAGUGACGGUACCUGCAGAAAAAGCACCGGCUAACUACGUGCCAGCCGCCGCGGUAA